rnacentral:lncRNA from 1 species
CCCCAAAGCUGGAGGAGCGGGACAACUCCGCCCGACCCACGUGGGCUGACAGUAGGGCGGCGGCGCUUCCUCCCAAGAAGAAGGGAGAACAGAUGUUGGGCAGGUGCCGAGGCCAGAUGUGCCCUGAGCCCCGAAGCUUGUGAUGGAGGCAGGACUCCCGUGGAUGUCGCUGGGGCGGCGGGUUCAGGAUGGCCCCGAGCAGGGAAGACAGAGACCAGGGGCACAGUACUAUGGGGCUCCCCUCGAGGGUGGAGGGGACCUGGCUGAGGGCUCUGCGGGGACCCAGAGGCAGCGUGGCAUGAAUGGUCUACAUGCCCCGGGUGUGAAUUCUCGCUCUGCCACUUACCAGGUAUUAGCUAACCUCUCUGUGCCUUCAUCUCCCCACUUGUGGAAUGACUGCACCUGCGUUGUCGUGGUCGAACCUGCAAACAAUCCACGAGGAAGCCGGUCACAAAGGACCACGGGUUACCUGAUUCCAUUUGCGUGAGAUGUCCAGAAUGGCAAAGUUAUAGAGACAGAAGGUAGAGAGGACUCUCAUUGGCAUCGCCAUCUGCAUCCUUUAGAUCCACGACGUUUAGUAAUGACUUCACUCAGAGUCCGAGAGGCCCAUGGAAAUAGCUGAGGCGUCUGAAGAAUUACUGUAUGUGAAAUUAGGAAGUAGAAGGUCGUUGGGAUUGAUCCGAGUAUAUAGACGUAAAGCAUAUUCCGCAAUUCUGUAUUAUUUAAGGCGAGAAGGCAGGGUGUUGCUAAAAUGUUGAUGUUUGUUGGGAGAUGACAUGGUGUCCAAAGGAAAAUUACCUGCAAUUUUUCUAUAAAAUGUCGAAACAGGGCCUAGAGUGGAAAGAAGCUGAGAAGGGGG